rnacentral:rRNA from 1 species
GAAAGCGUGGGUAGCAAACCGGAUUAGAUACCCGGGUAGUCCAUGCCGUAAACGAUGAAUACUGGGUCUUCGGGGAAUCGACCCCCUGUGGACCGAAGCUAACGCGUUAAGUAUUCCGCCUGGGGAGUACGGUCGCAAGACUAAAACUCAAAGGAAUUGACGGGGGCCCGCACAAGCAGCGGAGCGUGUGGUUUAAUUCGAUGGUAAACGAAGAACCUUACCUAGGUUUGACAUAUAAGUAGUACUGACCCGAAAGGUGAUGGACCCGCAAGGGAGCUUAUACAGGUGCUGCAUGGUUGUCGUCAGCUCGUGCCGUGAGGUGUUGGGUUAAGUCCCGCAACGAGCGCAACCCUCGUGGAUAGUUGUUUUCUUUAUCCAGACUGCUUUUACAAGAGGAAGGUGGGGAUGACGUCAAAUCAUCAUGGCUCUUACACCUAGGGCUACACACACGCUACAAUGGAUAGUACAGACGGUUGCUAAGUCGCAAGAUGGAGCCAAUCCGAUAAAGCUGUCCCCAAUUGGGAUUGUAGGCUGAAACUCGCCUGCAUGAACCUGGAGUUGCUAGUAACCGCAGAUCAGAAUGCUGCGGUGAAUACGUUCCCGGGCCUUGUACACACCGCCCGUCACGUCAUGGAAGUUUGAAACACUUGAAGUCGCUGGGCUUACCUUUUAGGAGGCAGGCGCCGAGAGUGGGGCAAAUGACUGGGACGAAGUCGUAACAAGGUAGCUGUACCGGAAGGUGCGGCUG